UGGGGAAUAUUGCACAAUGGGCGCAAGCCUGAUGCAGCCAUGCCGCGUGUAUGAAGAAGGCCUUCGGGUUGUAAAGUACUUUCAGCGGGGAGGAAGGCGUUGUGGUUAAUAACCACAGCGAUUGACGUUACCCGCAGAAGAAGCACCGGCUAACUCCGUGCCAGCAGCCGCGGUAAUACGGAGGGUGCAAGCGUUAAUCGGAAUUACUGGGCGUAAAGCGCACGCAGGCGGUUUGUUAAGUCAGAUGUGAAAUCCCCGGGCUCAACCUGGGAACUGCAUUUGAAACUGGCAGGCUUGAGUCUCGUAGAGGGGGGUAGAAUUCCAGGUGUAGCGGUGAAAUGCGUAGAGAUCUGGAGGAAUACCGGUGGCGAAGGCGGCCCCCUGGACGAAGACUGACGCUCAGGUGCGAAAGCGUGGGGAGCAAACA
rnacentral:rRNA from 1 species